CUUAGUUCCCCGACCAGGAUUGAACCCGUGCCCCCUGCGGUGGAAGCGUGGAGUCCUAACCACUGGACCGCCGGGGAACUACCACAAAGACAGUACUCUUGAGCAAGUUGGAAGAGAGAUUCCUUGGCGUGAUGACAGCAGGCACCCUCACAAUUCAGUGAAAUUGUCUCAAGCACCUACUAUGUGUCUGGCUCUGUGAUAUCACCAGGGGUCCCAAGGUGAACAAGAAAGGGAAGGAAACUAACAGGGGCCGGUGGGAGCCAGAACCACAUGAUAAUUACAAGGCCUCACCUCUGUGGCCUUCCUGGCCCAUCCCUCAAAGGAUCCUCACCACAAGCCUGCAAAGGAGGCAGGCAGGAAUGGGCCCAUGUUCAAGAUAGGGAAACUGAGGCUCACGGAGGGGCAGUGACUUGCCCAA